rnacentral:rRNA from 1 species
UACGAAGGGGGCUAGCGUUGUUCGGAAUUACUGGGCGUAAAGCGUGCGCAGGCGGUCCUCCAAGUCAGUGGUGAAAGCCCGGAGCUCAACUUCGGAAUUGCCAUUGAAACUGUUGGACUUGAGUACGAGAGAGGUGAGUGGAAUUCCCAGUGUAGAGGUGAAAUUCGUAGAUAUUGGGAAGAACACCGGUGGCGAAGGCGGCUCACUGGCUCGUAACUGACGCUCAGGCACGACAGCGUGGGGAUCAAACAGG